ACAGAGAAUUGGGGUUCGAUUCUGGAGAGGCUGCCCGAGAAAUGGCAACCAUGAUUACGAUCAGCAGCAGGCGCGCAAAUUGCACAAUGCCAACACUGGUGAUGCAGCGACGAAAAAUAUUUUCCCACGUGCACUGUGUGCUGCGGAGAAAGAAAUGGAUUGUAUCUAAAAACACUACUGAGUAUCAAUUGGAGGGCAAGUCUGGUGCCAGCAGCCGCGGUAAUUCCAGCUCCAAUAGUGUAUAUCAAUGUUGUUGCGGUUAAAAAGCUCGUAGUUGGAUUCAGGAAUUGUGGUUGUGGACGGGCCACCUUGUCUGACCUUCGGGUUGGCUUGGUGGAGCAACCCUCCACAUUGGACCAUGAUCCUCGGCACACGGGAUAAGUUCGGUGGUUGAAGUCCUCUUUAUUGAGGGUGGAGACAUUUCCGGAGUUGAAACACUCCAUAAGCCGUGCCCGUGGUCGUUACUGUGAGUAAAGCAGACUGUUCAAAGGAGCCGACUCGUUCGGCCUGAAUGAUAAAGCAUGGAAUAACAAGGGAUCGACCAAUUUGGCCUCUUCUUUGUUGGUUUCUAAGCCACAUUGUGGUAACUCGGCGUGGAUGCCUUACAGAUGCUCUUGAUUCCCCUUGUGGGUUUCGGACUCUGUGGGCGCCACUGCUUUCGGGAUCAAUAGGGGCAGUUGGGGCCGUCAGUACUUCCUGGCGAGAGGUGAAAUUCUCAGACCCAGGAAAGACUCUCUACAGCGAAAGCAGUCGGCCAAUCUGCUUUCAUUAAUCAAGAACGAGAGUAAGGGGAUCGAAGAUGAUCAGAUACCGUCGUAGUCCUUGACCGUAAAUUAUGCUGACUUGGGAUUGGUCGCUGCUCUCUUAGUGACUCGAUCGGCACCCCCCUUUUUUGCGCGAAAGCUACAUAGUUUUUGAGUUCCGGGGGGAGUACAUUCGCAAGGCUGAAACUUAAAGGAAUUGACGGAAAAGCACCACCAGACGUGGAGUGUGUGGCUUAAUUUGACCCAACACGGGAAAUUUUACCAGGUCAGGACACUGGAAGGAUAGCCAGAUUGAGAGCUCUUGCUUGAUUCAUUGAAGGGUGGUGCAUGGCCGUUCUUGGUUGGUGGAGUGAUUUGUCUGCUUAAUUGCGUCAACGAACGAGAUCUUUGCCAAUAAAUAGAUUGCUGCUUCCGACUGUAGGUUUUGUAGGAAUGGUUCGGGGCAACUCGUCCGUCCUGCUGGCCGAGGAGGCACGGCUUUACUUAUUGGGAUUAUGCAUUUUUUUGAAUGCAUUGAGACGAGAGCCAAUAGCAGGUCUGUGAUGCUCCUUAUAUGUUCUGGGCCGCACGCGCACUUCACUGACUCAGACAACAAGCUUACCAUACUUGGUCCUGCCUCGAAGGGGGUGGGGAAUCUUAUGAGCCUGAGUCGUGCUGGGGAUAGAUGAUUGCAAUUAUUUGCCUUUAACGAGGAAUGUCUUGUAUGCCCAGGUCAUCAGCCUGGACAGAAUACGUCCCUGCUUUUUGUACACACCGCCCGUCGUUGCUACCGAUUGGUCUGCGCAUAGAGUAAUUUGGAGGUGCCUUCACGGUGGCUCUGCUGCCUGAAGUGCUGCCAAAAUUUGGCAAUAUUUGUUGACUAGAGGAAGCAAAAGUCGUAACAAGGUA
rnacentral:rRNA from 1 species